UACGUAGGUGGCAAGCGUUGUCCGGAUUUACUGGGCGUAAAGAGCGCGCAGGCGGUCGUUCAAGUCGCGUGUGAAAGCCCCCGGCUCAACUGGGGAGGGUCACGCGAUACUGAUCGACUCGAAGGCAGGAGAGGGAUGCGGAAUUCCAGGUGUAGCGGUGAAAUGCGUAGAUAUCUGGAGGAACACCUGAGGUGAAGACGGGUUGCUGGGCCAACACUGACGUUGAGGCGCGAAAGCCAGGGGAGCAAACGGG
rnacentral:rRNA from 1 species